UCCGGUGACUAUAUCUUGGUGGAUAUACCUGUUCCCAUUCCGAACACAGAAGUCAAGCACCUGGAGCCGAUGAUAGUGCCAAAAGUGCGAAAGUAGGUAUCGCCGGAU
rnacentral:rRNA from 1 species